GAUUGGUAAAAUUGGCGGAAGGUGGCGAAGCAGGCCAAAACACAAACUCAAACAUAAACAGUAUUUGCAGGCUCCUUCAGUUUGAAUUUGAAUAUCCUGGCUGUACCAUUGUUGUCAGUGAAGUCGGUAUUUGAAAAUAACAUGUUUUUUCAAUCUCUGAU